GACGAACGCUGGCGGCGUGCUUAACACAUGCAAGUCGAACGGAAAGGCCCUGCUUUUGUGGGGUGCUCGAGUGGCGAACGGGUGAGUAACACGUGAGUAACCUGCCCUUGACUGUGGGAUAACUUCAGGAAACUGGGGCUAAUACCGGAUAGGAGCUCCUGCUGCAUGGUGGGCGUUGGAAAGUUUCGGCGGUUGGGGAUGGACUCGCGGCUUAUCAGCUUGUUGGUGGGGUAGUGGCUUACCAAGGCUUUGACGGGUAGCCCGCCUGAGAGGGUGGCCGGCCACAUGGGGACUGAGGUACGGACCAGAAUCCUACGGGAGGCAGAAGUGGGGAAUAUUGCACAAUGGGCGGAAGCCUGAUGCAGCAACGCCGCGUGCGGGAUGACGGGCUUCGGGUUGUAAACCGCUUUCGCAUGUGACGAAGCGUGAGUGACGGUAAUGGGUAAAGAAGCACCGGCUAACUACGUG
rnacentral:rRNA from 1 species